GCACUCUUGGCCUAAUGGAUAAGGCAACUGGCUUCGAACCAGUCGAUUGGGGGUUCGACUCCCUCAGAGUGCGCCA
rnacentral:tRNA from 1 species